rnacentral:lncRNA from 1 species
UCGCUAAAGCUCUUGUCGCCUUCUAUCAGAAGUACGUUGACGAGCAGAGCAAGAAGGAAAUCAAAGAUAUUUUGGUCAGGUAUGAUAGGACUUUGCUUGUAGCUGAUCCCAGGCGAUGCGAGCCAAAGAAGUUCGGUGGUCGUGGUGCUCGCGCCAGGUUCCAGAAGAGUUACCGUUGAAUUCGGUAUUAUGCUUUUUUAUGUUUCUGUUAUUUUCCAAAGUGUUUUGAAUUAUGGAUUUUGCUAUUUGAGGACUAAAAAUGUGAUGGAUUUUUGUUGUUUUUCUCUUAGUACACCCAUUGCCUAGUUUUGUUGUUUGGAUAAUUUAAUGGUUAUAUUAUAGCUAGUUGAUUAAACUCAGUUAUGCUUUUGUCUGAUCAAAGUUAAUAGCUUUAUGGUGUUUAGAGUAUUAAUGGUUUGGUUUAUAUACGGUUUGCUGGGUUUUGAUUCUAAAACAUGAAAUGGCAAGAAUAAAUUUUUUUUAAUGGGUUUUUUCUUACAAUUGAAAAAAAAAAAAAAGAAAGCCAUUCGAGCUUCAUUAGCAUUUUUGGCUCUUUUUUUUUUUUUUUUUUUUUUUUUUAUCAUAAUCUGGAUUAUGAUGCUUAUUGUGUUCCCUCCUCGUAGCUUGGAACUGGAGUAAAUUCUGAAUGUAAGAAGAAUCCUUUAAUUUGGUGAAAUUAUUUUUGUUCAAUUUUGUUAAUAGGCAACACGAGUAAAUUCUCCCUGCUGCUUCAACCUAGGGUUAGAUAGAAAUCCCUUGAUUGAAAAUUAAAACUUUGUAGUACUUGUUUUCCUUGUUUAAAUUGGAAAACAAAGAAAUUGGGAAAACAGGUACCAACAAAACUAUGGGAAAGAGAUGAUGAAACUUUUCUUCAUAUUAUCAUUUUGUAUUCUCAAUAAGUUCUGGCAACAAAUGUUGUUGUAUCUAUGUACAGAUUCUUGAAACUAGGGAUUAUAUAACUAUAAUCAUGGAUUUGGAUUUUACAACUAUAAAUAUAGAACUCCUUGAAGGGACCAGAAUCACGGAUUAGUUCCAUUACAAGAUGUACCUGCAAGUCAUUAAUCAUACAGACACCAUAAAAUUAAAAACUUAUUGAUGUCUGUAACAACUAUGGCAAGAAGAUUAGAAGACCCACAGAUUGAUUGCUUGAAUGAUUUCCAAAGUAUGAGUUUUUUCAGUCAUAAUAAACUUUUGACAGUAUAUUAUAUUGAUAGUUUAACCCUGUACCUUAAUUCCCAAAGAAGGGAAAAGAUCGCAACAAAACUAACAAGCAUGAGUGGUAAAAUACAUAUGGCGAUCGAGCUAUGGCCUCGAGUUAAUCUUGAGGGUGGAGAAAUUUGAUGACAGGAUAUGGAUGGAAUCCAAUUGUACAAAAGCAUACUGAAAAUUAUAUAAUGUGUACAAGAAAACUUUUAUCUUAAAAUACUCAUUUUCUCUAAAGAAGUAUGUGAAAAUACUCGGCAUGAGAGCUGAACUAGGAAUCGUCAGAGUAUGAUAUGUUAUAAUGUAAACAUCAUUAAGAAAACAGCUACUGCUUUACAAAAAAAUAAUUAUGAUUUUUCCAAUGGUAAUGCAUUUCAAUCCUCUGCAAGAAUCCUUUUUCCUUCAGUUUGUGCCGCCCCUUCUCUGAGGGAAAGGUAAUGUGCAGUGAUGAAACCUGGGACUGCAAAAGUCAUGGCACCAUAUUAAUAAGAAUAUUACAUUUUAAAACAGUAAACUAAUUUUGGGUUUUACAGUAAAUGAAACAUAAAUGCUUCAAAAAUGCGAAGUAUAUAAUUUCAAAAUAACAGACUCACUGACAAGUUUUUUUUUGAAAGAAAAUGUAACAAUUAAAGGAACUAGAUGUGGUUAGCGAUCUCAAUCUCCAUAAAGGGUGAGAACACAAGUUCGAACAUCGGGAAGAACACUUUGCUGGGAAAGCUAAAAACCUUUAUAUUCUAUAGCUCAAAGGAUUAUAAACCUCCUUGUUAUACGGGGAAAAAAAAAAAGAACGCUGAAAUAAAUGCACAAAUUCCUUCAACAUUAAACUGUGAGAUGUGUGUUUCUUACAUAAGUCGCUUCAGUGAGAAACAAAUGUUUAAAUAGAAUUAGAAAGAUAGAGAGAGAGAGAGAGAGAGAGAGAGAGAGAGAGAGGAUGCUUUAUGAGAAGAAUAAAUCUUUGCAUUUGAGUUUGCUAGAUAUAACAACAUAGAAUAAAAACAUGAAUGAAAGCAGAGCUGCUAUAAUACGAUUUCACUUCCCUGGAAAUUUGCUAAAUAGAAGGAGAUCUGUUCCUCUCUGGCCUUAUGUUAAGCCCAACACCUUACCAUUUGAAACGGGCCCAACUUGUUUUAUUCUAUUUCAGAGGCCUUUUUCUAAUUAUCUAUAUUUUACCAGCAAAACGCAUCGUUUCUACAAGCCAAAACCCUAAUAGCCGCUGUAUAAAAUACGCUAUCCCUCUUUUUUCCGUCUUACAUUAUAACUAGCUGUCCUUUGUUCCACUCUCAAACCCUAACAAUGGCAGCGGCUCCAAUCGAGUCAGUCCAGUGCUUUGGACGCAAGAAGACCGCUGUGGCUGUCACCUACUGCAAGCGUGGAAGAGGCCUAAUCAAGAUCAAUGGAUGCCCAAUCGAGCUAGUGGAGCCUGAGAUCCUCCGUUUCAAGGCAUAUGAGCCUAUCCUUCUUCUUGGACGACACCGUUUUGCUGGCGUCGACAUGCGCAUUCGCGUCAAAGGUGGUGGUCACACCUCGCAGAUCUAUGCUAUCCGUCAAAGUAUCGCUAAAGCUCUUGUCGCCUUCUAUCAGAAGUACGUCGACGAGCAGAGCAAGAAGGAAAUAAAAGAUAUUUUGGUCAGGUAUGAUAGGACUUUGCUUGUAGCUGAUCCCAGACG